AGGCCAAACACUACUUGUAUUGUGAAGUAAUGCUGCAGAAUUUGGAUUAUGCAACUCAGAAACAAGGAAUUGGAGAUUGAAGGCUAUGAAAAUAUUUCAAGAAAGAGAGUGCUUAUAUGGCAAAGGAAGAAGGCAAAAGCCCCGAAGGCUUUGAGGCAAGCCUGCUACAGCAUCAAUAAUCUGAAUUAACUUCUCUCUGGUCCCUCUAACACAAACCCAGGACCUUCAGAAGGGGUUUCUUUGGUGACAAGGAAGAUUGAUGUACACCCUCAGAAGAGGAUAGCAAUGUCAAGGCUCCUACAUCCAAAGCUUCCAAGACAAAUAUGAGUUGGUCUC